AGCGAACGCUGGCGGCAGGCCUAACACAUGCAAGUCGAACGCACCUUCGGGUGAGUGGCGGACGGGUGAGUAACACGUGGGAACGUGCCCUUAGGUUCGGAACAAGCCCGGGAAACUGGGUCUAAUACCGGAUGUGCCCUUCGGGGGAAAGAUUUAUCGCCUUUGGAGCGGCCCGCGUCUGAUUAGCUAGUUGGUGGGGUAAUGGCCCACCAAGGCUACGAUCAGUGGCUGGUCUGAGAGGAUGAUCAGCCACACUGGGACUGAGACACGGCCCAGACUCCUACGGGAGGCAGCAGUGGGGAAUCUUGCGCAAUGGGCGAAAGCCUGACGCAGCCAUGCCGCGUGAAUGAUGAAGGUCUUAGGAUUGUAAAAUUCUUUCAGCGGGGACGAUAAUGACGGUACCCGCAGAAGAAGCCCCGGCUAACUUCGUGCCAGCCGCCGCAGUAACAC
rnacentral:rRNA from 1 species